AACGAACGCUGGCGGCAUGCCUAACACAUGCGAGUCGAACGAGACCUUCGGGUCUAGUGGCGCACGGGUGCGUAACGCGUGGGAACCUGCCCUUAGGUUCGGAAUAACUCCCCGAAAGGGGUGCUAAUACCGGAUAAUGUCUUCGGACCAAAGAUUUAUCGCCUUUGGAUGGGCCCGCGUUGGAUUAGCUUGUUGGUAGGGUAAAAGCCUACCAAGGCGACGAUCCAUAGCUGGUCUGAGAGGAUGAUCAGCCACACUGGGACUGAGACACGGCCCAGACUACUACGGGAGGCAGCAGAGGGGAAUAUUGGAAAAUGGGGGAAAGCAUGAACCAGCAAGGCCGGGUGAGUGAUGAAGGCCUUAGGGUUGUAAAGCUCUUUUACCCGGGAUGAUAAUGACAGUACCGGGAGAAUAAGCUCCGGCUAACUCCGUG
rnacentral:rRNA from 1 species